UCCUACGGGAGGCAGCAGUGGGGAAUAUUGCACAAUGGGGGAAACCCUGAUGCAGCAACGCCGCGUGAAGGAAGACGGUUUUCGGAUUGUAAACUUCUAUCAAUAGGGACGAAAAAAUGACGGUACCUAAAUAAGAAGCCCCGGCUAACUACGUGCCAGCAGCCGCGGUA
rnacentral:rRNA from 1 species